UGGGGAAUCUUGCGCAAUGGGCGAAAGCCUGACGCAGCGACGCCGCGUGAGUGAUGAAGGCCUUCGGGUUGUAAAGCUCUGUGGGGAGAGAAGAAUAAGUGCGGGCUAAUACCCCGCAUGAUGACGGUAUCUCCUUAGCAAGCACCGGCUAACUCUGUGCCAGCAGCCGCGGUAAGACAGAGGGUGCAAACGUUGUUCGGAAUUACUGGGCGUAAAGCGAGUGUAGGCGGUUUGGUAAGUCGGAUGUGAAAGCCCCGGGCUCAACCCGGGAAGUGCAUUCGAUACUGCCAAGCUAGAGUAUCGGAGAGGUUGGUGGAAUUCUCGGUGUAGAGGUGAAAUUCGUAGAUAUCGAGAGGAACACCGGUGGCGAAGGCGGCCAACUGGACGAAUACUGACGCUGAGACUCGAAAGCGUGGGGAGCAAACAGGAUUAGAUACCCUUGUAGUCCCUGAGCGGGCUGGCAAGGCGCAU
rnacentral:rRNA from 1 species